UCUCUUAAGACAAUAUAUCUUUCAUUUUAAAAGGUUUUUGAUUGGUCGCACGGCGGCGAGAAAAAAGAGUUUGAUUGGUUGGAUGUGCUUUGAGUGAUGGCGAGAACUAGGAUUGGCGAGAUAUACAUCUCGAAUCCUAGCCUCAGGAGUGCAUGGUAUACACCAUGUUCCAUUUCCAUCUUUAUUUGCAAAAGUGUUUAAUAGAGAUUAAGUAUUU
rnacentral:lncRNA from 1 species